rnacentral:rRNA from 1 species
CAGGCUUAACACAUGCAAGUCGAGGGGCAGCAUCAUCAAAGCUUGCUUUGAUGGAUGGCGACCGGCGCACGGGUGAGUAACACGUAUCCAACCUGCCGACAACACUGGGAUAGCCUUUCGAAAGAAAGAUUAAUACCGGAUGGCAUAGUUUUCCCGCAUGGGAUAAUUAUUAAAGAAUUUCGGUUGUCGAUGGGGAUGCGUUCCAUUAGGCAGUUGGCGGGGUAACGGCCCACCAAACCUACGAUGGAUAGGGGUUCUGAGAGGAAGGUCCCCCACAUUGGAACUGAGACACGGUCCAAACUCCUACGGGAGGCAGCAGUGAGGAAUAUUGGUCAAUGGACGAGAGUCUGAACCAGCCAAGUAGCGUGAAGGAUGACUGCCCUAUGGGUUGUAAACUUCUUUUAUACGGGAAUAAAGUGAGCCACGUGUGGCUUUUUGUAUGUACCGUAUGAAUAAGGAUCGGCUAACUCCGUGCCAGCAGCCGCGGUAAUACGGAGGAUUCGAGCGUUAUCCGGAUUUAUUGGGUUUAAAGGGAGCGUAAGCGGGUUGUUAAGUCAGUUGUGAAAGUUUGCGGCUCAACCGUAAAAUUGCAGUUGAUACUGGCGACCUUGAGUGCAACAGAGGUAGGCGGAAUUCGUGGUGUAGCGGAGAAAUGCUUAGAUAUCACGAAGAGCUCCGAUUGCGAAGGCAGCUUACUGGAUUGUAACUGACGCUGAUGCUCAAAAGUGUGGGUAUCAAACAGGAUUAGAUACCCUGGUAGUCCACACAGUAAAACGAUGAAUACUCGCUGUUUGGCGAUAUACAGUCAGCGGCCAAGCGAAAGCAUUAAGUAUUCCACCUGGGGAGUACGCCGGCAACGGUGAAACUCAAAGGAAUUGACGGGGGCCCGCACAAGCGGAGGAACAUGUGGUUUAAUUCGAUGAUACGCGAGGAACCUUACCCGGGCUUAAAUUGCAACUGACGGAACCGGAAACGGUUCUUUCUUCGGACAGUUGUGAAGGUGCUGCAUGGUUGUCGUCAGCUCGUGCCGUGAGGUGUCGGCUUAAGUGCCAUAACGAGCGCAACCCUUACGGGUAGUUACCAUCAGGUUAUGCUGGGGACUCUACCCGGACUGCCGUCGUAAGAUGUGAGGAAGGUGGGGAUGACGUCAAAUCAGCACGGCCCUUACGUCCGGGGCUACACACGUGUUACAAUGGGGGGUACAGAAGGCAGCUACACGGCGACGUGGUGCUAAUCCCAAAAGCCUCUCUCAGUUCGGAUUGGAGUCUGCAACCCGACUCCAUGAAGCUGGAUUCGCUAGUAAUCGCGCAUCAGCCACGGCGCGGUGAAUACGUUCCCGGGCCUUGUACACACCGCCCGUCAAGCCAUGAAAGCCGGGGGUACCUGAAGUACGUAACCGCGAGGAGCGUCCUAGGGUAAAACUGGUGAUUGGGGCUAAG